rnacentral:rRNA from 1 species
GCCUCGUGAAUUCAUCUCCGGGGGUAGAGCACUGUUUCGGCAAGGGGGUCAUCCCGACUUACCAACCCGAUGCAAACUGCGAAUACCGGAGAAUGUUAUCACGGGAGACACACGGCGGGUGCUAACGUCCGUCGUGAAGAGGGAAACAACCCAGACCGCCAGCUAAGGUCCCAAAGUCAUGGUUAAGUGGGAAACGAUGUGGGAAGGCCCAGACAGCCAGGAUGUUGGCUUAGAAGCAGCCAUCAUUUAAAGAAAGCGUAAUAGCUCACUGGUCGAGUCGGCCUGCGCGGAAGAUGUAACGGGGCUAAACCAUGCACCGAAGCUGCGGCAGCGACGCUUAUGCGUUGUUGGGUAGGGGAGCGUUCUGUAAGCCUGUGAAGGUGUGCUGUGAGGCAUGCUGGAGGUAUCAGAAGUGCGAAUGCUGACAUAAGUAACGAUAAAGCGGGUGAAAAGCCCGCUCGCCGGAAGACCAAGGGUUCCUGUCCAACGUUAAUCGGGGCAGGGUGAGUCGACCCCUAAGGCGAGGCCGAAAGGCGUAGUCGAUGGGAAACAGGUUAAUAUUCCUGUACUUGGUGUUACUGCGAAGGGGGGACGGAGAAGGCUAUGUUGGCCGGGCGACGGUUGUCCCGGUUUAAGCGUGUAGGCUGGUUUUCCAGGCAAAUCCGGAAAAUCAAGGCUGAGGCGUGAUGACGAGGCACUACGGUGCUGAAGCAACAAAUGCCCUGCUUCCAGGAAAAGCCUCUAAGCAUCAGGUAACAUCAAAUCGUACCCCAAACCGACACAGGUGGUCAGGUAGAGAAUACCAAGGCGCUUGAGAGAACUCGGGUGAAGGAACUAGGCAAAAUGGUGCCGUAACUUCGGGAGAAGGCACGCUGAUAUGUAGGUGAAGUCCCUCGCGGAUGGAGCUGAAAUCAGUCGAAGAUACCAGCUGGCUGCAACUGUUUAUUAAAAACACAGCACUGUGCAAACACGAAAGUGGACGUAUACGGUGUGACGCCUGCCCGGUGCCGGAAGGUUAAUUGAUGGGGUCAGCGCAAGCGAAGCUCUUGAUCGAAGCCCCGGUAAACGGCGGCCGUAACUAUAACGGUCCUAAGGUAGCGAAAUUCCUUGUCGGGUAAGUUCCGACCUGCACGAAUGGCGUAAUGAUGGCCAGGCUGUCUCCACCCGAGACUCAGUGAAAUUGAACUCGCUGUGAAGAUGCAGUGUACCCGCGGCAAGACGGAAAGACCCCGUGAACCUUUACUAUAGCUUGACACUGAACAUUGAGCCUUGAUGUGUAGGAUAGGUGGGAGGCUUAGAAGUGUGGACGCCAGUCUGCAUGGAGCCGACCUUGAAAUACCACCCUUUAAUGUUUGAUGUUCUAACGUUGACCCGUAAUCCGGGUUGCGGACAGUGUCUGGUGGGUAGUUUGACUGGGGCGGUCUCCUCCUAAAGAGUAACGGAGGAGCACGAAGGUUGGCUAAUCCUGGUCGGACAUCAGGAGGUUAGUGCAAUGGCAUAAGCCAGCUUGACUGCGAGCGUGACGGCGCGAGCAGGUGCGAAAGCAGGUCAUAGUGAUCCGGUGGUUCUGAAUGGAAGGGCCAUCGCUCAACGGAUAAAAGGUACUCCGGGGAUAACAGGCUGAUACCGCCCAAGAGUUCAUAUCGACGGCGGUGUUUGGCACCUCGAUGUCGGCUCAUCACAUCCUGGGGCUGAAGUAGGUCCCAAGGGUAUGGCUGUUCGCCAUUUAAAGUGGUACGCGAGCUGGGUUUAGAACGUCGUGAGACAGUUCGGUCCCUAUCUGCCGUGGGCGCUGGAGAACUGAGGGGGGCUGCUCCUAGUACGAGAGGACCGGAGUGGACGCAUCACUGGUGUUCGGGUUGUCAUGCCAAUGGCACUGCCCGGUAGCUAAAUGCGGAAGAGAUAAGUGCUGAAAGCAUCUAAGCACGAAACUUGCC